AACGAACGCUGGCGGCAGGCUUAACACAUGCAAGUCGAACGCCCCGCAAGGGGAGUGGCAGACGGGUGAGUAACGCGUGGGAACAUACCCUUUCCUGCGGAAUAGCUCCGGGAAACUGGAAUUAAUACCGCAUACGCCCUACGGGGGAAAGAUUUGUCGGGGAAGGAUUGGCCCGCGUUGGAUUAGCUAGUUGGUGGGGUAAAGGCCUACCAAGGCGACGAUCCAUAGCUGGUCUGAGAGGAUGAUCAGCCACAUUGGGACUGAGACACGGCCCAAACUCCUACGGGAGGCAGCAGUGGGGAAUAUUGGACAAUGGGCGCAAGCCUGAUCCAGCCAUGCCGCGUGAGUGAUGAAGGCCUUAGGGUUGUAGAGCUCUUUCACCGAUGAAGAUAAUGACGGUAGUCGGAGAAGAAGCCCCGGCUAACUUCGUGCCAGCCGCCGCAGUAA
rnacentral:rRNA from 1 species